AGCUCAGCGGAUUAGUAAAUCAAAUAGAGAAAUGCGGGUUCGAAUCCCGCCUGCGCUA
rnacentral:tRNA from 1 species